UUUUAAAAAUCAUAGGCCAUGCUGCCAAAUAUAAAAUUUAGGAAUUUCUAGAACAGUCGACGAUCAAACAUGGCAGUCUACAGGUGUCUGUGAGUGAGUGUGUGACUGUGGGAACAAGAUGCAAGCGAUCGAACACGUGUUCAGACUAGGCGGCCAUCAAUCAGUUUUUUGUUUCUCAAAUAGUCUCUAGCAUCCUUCAGCAGCUCCAAGACUUCUGGGGGAUCAUCGGCUGACGCCUUCCACUGAUCGUCUUUCAAAAGAUCUUGAUCGACUUCGUCAUCAACAUCAGUGUUUCCGGUGCGGCUGUAAUGCUUUCGCUUUAUUACAUUUUCCUUUGGGAUCCCGAUCCUCGUUCCAAUCACGCCGCAUUUCAAGAGCCCAAUUCGGCCUAUACUGUGUCAUCUCGUUCCCAAUUAUCGAGCUAUUCCAC